rnacentral:rRNA from 1 species
UGAGGAAUCUUCGGCAAUGGGGGCAACCCUGACCGAGCAACGCCGCGUGGAGGACGACGGUCUUCGGAUUGUAAACUCCUUUUCGCUGGGACGAGACAGGACGGUACCAGCGGAAGAAGCCUCGGCUAACUACGUGCCAGCAGCCGCGGUAAUACGUAGGAGGCAAGCGUUGUCCGGAGUUACUGGGCGUAAAGGGCGCGCAGGCGGCCGGUCGCGUUCCUGGUGAAAGCUCCGAGCUAAACUCGGAGAGGUUCAGGAAAACGGGUCGGCUUGAGCGUAGGAGAGGGGAAUGGAACUCCGGGUGGAGCGGUGAAAUGCGUAGAGAUCCGGAAGAACACCAAUGGCGAAGGCAGUGCCCUGGCCGACUGCUGACGCUCAGGCGCGAAAGCGUGGGGAGCAAACAGG